UGGGGAAUUUUGGACAAUGGGCGAAAGCCUGAUCCAGCAAUGCCGCGUGUGUGAAGAAGGCCUUCGGGUUGUAAAGCACUUUUGUCCGGAAAGAAAUCCUCUGGGUUAAUACCUCGGGGGGAUGACGGUACCGGAAGAAUAAGCACCGGCUAACUACGUGCCAGCAGCCGCGGUAAUACGUAGGGUGCAAGCGUUAAUCGGAAUUACUGGGCGUAAAGCGUGCGCAGGCGGUUUUGUAAGACGGAUGUGAAAUCCCCGGGCUUAACCUGGGAACUGCAUUCGUGACUGCAAGGCUAGAGUAUGGCAGAGGGGGGUAGAAUUCCACGUGUAGCAGUGAAAUGCGUAGAGAUGUGGAGGAAUACCGAUGGCGAAGGCAGCCCCCUGGGCCAAUACUGACGCUCAUGCACGAAAGCGUGGGGAGCAAACAGGAUUAGAUACCCUGGUAGUCCACGCCCUAAAACGAUGUCAACUAGUUGUUGGGGAUUCAUUUCCUUAGUAACGUAGCUAACGCGUGAAGUUGACCGCCUGGGGAGUACGGUCGCAAGAUUAAAACUUAAAGGAAUUGACGGGGUCAUAGCUGUUUCCU
rnacentral:rRNA from 1 species